UGCAAGUCGAACGGUGAAGGAGAGCUUGCUCUCUGGAUCAGUGGCGAACGGGUGAGUAACACGUGAGCAAUCUGCCCCUGACUCUGGGAUAAGCGCUGGAAACGGCGUCUAAUACCGGAUACGAGCUGCGAAGGCAUCUUCAGCAGUUGGAAAGAAUUUCGGUCAGGGAUGAGCUCGCGGCCUAUCAGCUAGUUGGUGAGGUAACGGCUCACCAAGGCGUCGACGGGUAGCCGGCCUGAGAGGGUGACCGGCCACACUGGGACUGAGACACGGCCCAGACUCCUACGGGAGGCAGCAGUGGGGAAUAUUGCACAAUGGGCGAAAGCCUGAUGCAGCAACGCCGCGUGAGGGACGACGGCCUUCGGGUUGUAAACCUCUUUUAGCAGGGAAGAAGCGAAAGUGACGGUACCUGCAGAAAAAGCACCGGCUAACUACGUGCCAGCAGCCGCGGUAAUACGUAGGGUGCAAGCGUUAUCCGGAAUUAUUGGGCGUAAAGAGCUCGUAGGCGGUCUGUCGCGUCUGCUGUGAAAACCCGAGGCUCAACCUCGGGCCUGCAGUGGGUACGGGCAGACUAGAGUGCGGUAGGGGAGAUUGGAAUUCCUGGUGUAGCGGUGGAAUGCGCAGAUAUCAGGAGGAACACCGAUGGCGAAGGCAGAUCUCUGGGCCGUAACUGACGCUGAGGAGCGAAAGGGUGGGGAGCAAACAGGCUUAGAUACCCUGGUAGUCCACCCCGUAAACGUUGGGAACUAGUUGUGGGGUCCAUUCCACGGAUUCCGUGACGCAGCUAACGCAUUAAGUUCCCCGCCUGGGGAGUACGGCCGCAAGGCUAAAACUCAAAGGAAUUGACGGGGACCCGCACAAGCGGCGGAGCAUGCGGAUUAAUUCGAUGCAACGCGAAGAACCUUACCAAGGCUUGACAUAUAGAGGAAACGGCUGGAAACAGUCGCCCCGCAAGGUCUCUAUACAGGUGGUGCAUGGUUGUCGUCAGCUCGUGUCGUGAGAUGUUGGGUUAAGUCCCGCAACGAGCGCAACCCUCGUUCUAUGUUGCCAGCACGUAAUGGUGGGAACUCAUGGGAUACUGCCGGGGUCAACUCGGAGGAAGGUGGGGAUGACGUCAAAUCAUCAUGCCCCUUAUGUCUUGGGCUUCACGCAUGCUACAAUGGCCGGUACAAAGGGCUGCAAUACCGUAAGGUGGAGCGAAUCCCAAAAAGCCGGUCCCAGUUCGGAUUGAGGUCUGCAACUCGACCUCAUGAAGUCGGAGUCGCUAGUAAUCGCAGAUCAGCAACGCUGCGGUGAAUACGUUCCCGGGUCUUGUACACACCGCCCGUCAAGUCAUGAAAGUCGGUAACACCUGAAGCCGGUGGCCCAACCCUUGUGGAGGGAGC
rnacentral:rRNA from 1 species